rnacentral:rRNA from 1 species
AACAAACGCUGGCGGCGUGUCUUAAGCAUGCAAGUUGAGCGGCAAGGAGGAGAGAUCCUCCCUAGAGCGGCGGACUGGUGAGUAACGCGUGGGUAAUCUAUCGUAGGCAUGGGGAUAGUCACUAGAAAUAGUGGGUAAUACCGAAUACGUUCCAUGAGGGGAGUAUUCAUGGAAGAAAGGGUGCUACGGCACUGGCCUUAGGUGAGCUCGCGUCCCAUUAGCUAGUUGGUGAGGUAAAGGCCACCAAGGCGAUGAUGGGUAGCCGGCCUGAGAGGGUGUACGGCCACACUGGGACUGAGAUACGGCCCAGACUCCUACGGGAGGCAGCAGCUAAGAAUAUUCCGCAAUGGACGAAAGUCUGACGGAGCGACGCCGCGUGGAUGAAGAAGGCCGAAAGGUUGUAAAGUUCUUUUGCUAGGGGAAAUAAGUGAGGGAGGGAAUGCCCUAUGAUGACAAGGACUAGCGAAUAGCCCCGGCAACUACGUGCCAGCAGCCGG